rnacentral:tRNA from 1 species
GGCCUCGUAGCUCGACUGGCUAGAGCGUUGGCUGUACUAAAGUCGUCCCCUUGCUGGCGUGGGUUCGAGUCCCAUCGAGGCCA